GCUAAUCACCUGACCCUCCUGACUCACACUUCUAGGUGAAAGGUUACAGCCAGAAACAAACAAGGUCACAGCCAGAAACAAACACCCACACAAGCCUGGACAGUCACCCAAAUCCAAGAGGCAGCAGCCCUAGAAAACCAGCACAAGCACACAAACAAGUAAGAAAACAAAUAAGCACACAAACUUACUCACACACAGCCCCAAAAGACAAAGCCACAAAACCUACAGAGUGUCUCCCAAGCUCAGCUCACCUUCUGCUCCUUCCUCAGUCGCUGCACUCCAAGCUCUGACUAGCUCCGCCCACAGCUAAUCACCUGACCCUCCUGACUCACACUUCUAGGUGAAAGGUCACAGCCAGAAACAAACAAGGUCACAGCCAGAAACAAACACCCACACAAGCCUGGACAGUCACCCAAAUCCAAGAGGCAGCAGCCCUAGAAAACCAGCACAAGCACACAAACAAGGAAGAAAACAAAUAAGCACACAAACUUACUCACACACAGCCCCAAAAGACAAAGCCACAAAACCUACAGAGUGUCUCCCAAGCUCAGCUCACCUUCUGCUCCUUCCUCAGUAGCUGCACUCCAAGCUCUGACUAGCUCCGCCCACAGCUAAUCACCUGACCCUCCUGACUCACACUUCUAGGUGAAAGGUCACAGCCAGAAACAAACAAGGUCACAGCCAGAAACAAACACCCACACAAGCCUGGACAGUCACCCAAAUCCAAGAGGCAGCAGCCCUAGAAAACCAGCACAAGCACACAAACAAGGAAGAAAACAAAUAAGCACACAAACUUACUCACACACAGCCCCAAAAGACAAAGCCACAAAACCUACAGAGUGUCUCCCAAGCUCAGCUCACCUUCUGCUCCUUCCUCAGUCGCUGCACUCCAAGGUCUGAGCCCGUUGAAUAUUCCAACAUUUCACCAAUGAAAAUAUUUUUUCUCUACCUGCUUUUCUUGCUUCACCCUUCCCUCUUCCCUCCUCCAGGCCAACAUGCUGCCUCCUGGAUGCUGUUGAACUACAAUUCCAGCAUCCUGACUAUAGGUCAUGCUGGCUGGGGCAGAUGGAAGGUUAUGCAGCAAGACACAGUGAUAGGAAAGGUGUGGGGCUUGUGGUCUCCAGCAUGUGGUGAGAUGGACUGCUGGUGGCAGCCUGAUUUUGGAGCUGGCAUACCAAGGACCAAAGAACCAGAGGUGGGUCCCAUGAUUGAGGUGAGGCCAAGGGUCAGGAUCCAGAUCAGGAAAACAAGGAUCAAAGAGCAGAAGCUGGAGACAUGGCCACAGGCAGGCAGGGGGUCACAUAUCAGAUUGGGGAGAGACAAAUUCCUGCUGGUUCAGGUGAAAGGUCCAUCUAGCCCUGUAUCCUCUUCCAGGUACCCGUCUUUCUUUUUUACUCACACCCAAUCCAGUUUUCUCCUCCUUGUCUCAGUGCUGCCUUUUUAGGACAGCAGGAUGGAGAUAUUAGUUGGAUCUGCCUGCUAUUAUCUCUGGCUCCACCUAUAUACGAACAAAUGAAAUAAGACCCUCCUGGAUGACGAGGUCAGUGACCCAUCCAGUCCAGCAUCAUGCUCUUACUGUGGCCACGCAGAUUCCUCUGGGAAAUCUGCAAGUAGAACCUGCGUACAGGAGGACUCUUCCAUCCUGUGCCUUCCAGCAACUGAUAUUCAGAAGUGUUAGUGCCUCUGACCAUGGAGGCAGGGCAUAGCCAUCAUAGCUUGUAGCCAUGAAUUCGUUCAAUCAUCUUUUAAAGCCAUCUAAAUUGGUGGCCAGCAAAGCCUCUUGUGGGAGUGAGUUCCAUAGUUUAACUAUGCACUGCAAGGAGAAGUACUUUCUUUUAUCUGUCCUGGAUCUUCGGCAUUCAACUUCAUGGAAUGACCCUGAGUUCUUGUGUUAGAGAAAAGUUUUUCUUCUUUUCUAUCUACUGUCUCCUUGCCAUCUCUCUCUCUCUCUCUCUCUCUCUCUCUCUCUCUCUCUCUCUCUCUCUCUCUCUCUCUCGUUUCUGUGCAGUUUCCUAUUUUACCAAUCUACUAAGGAUUGUGGAAGAAUUUGUUUGACCUACUUUUCACAAACAGACCAACCCAAGCUGAAACCAGGAAAGUUGCCUGCAUUUAGAAUGCAACUCCCGUGGGGAUUAGGCAGUUCUAUGGAUUUCCCACUGAACUUUCAGUGGGAAUAAGUGUGUACAAAAAUAAUAAUUUCAUGGUGAAUGCAUUGAAAAUUGUAUUUUAAAUUUUUUUUAAAUGCACACAAUAGGGCACAUAAAAUACACACAAUAGGGCAGAAUAGCAUACAGUGGAACCAAACAGGAUGAAAUGUAGAUAUGGCAUAGUUAGAGAAAGACCAAAAUGUUGUUUAGCCCACCCCUAAUAACAACUCAUAAUGUUUGAAAAUCUUGAAAGCAGAUUAAAGUUUGCAAAAUAAUGAAAGCAAAUUUAUAUAACUCAUACUGUUCACAGAAGUCUGGCUGCUUUGAUCCUGAAUUUAGGUGACCUUGGGAAAGCAUGCGAAUCUUUCAAUGGGAAAGGGGUGCAGAUCACAGACAGUCCAAUUGGGAAUCAGAGGGAGUAUUUUGAAUGGGAGCUGCACCCUUACUCUCUACUUAGGACUUUUAGGGUCAUAUUAAUUAAAAUCUAAAUCUUUCCUCCCUCUCUUAAAUGACGUACAAAAUCACUUCAAACAUUUGGUUAAUUGCACAGAGGAAAUGCUGGUUCUAGUUCUCAUGUAACAACAACAACUCUUUAAACUGAACCAAAGUAAAAUAAAAGCUUCUUAUUGGACACCAAACAUUCCUGUCUGGAAAAACCUGCUGACUUCCACAGAACAAACGAGUUUCAAGCCGCUUGGUUUGAGAAGGUGCUCUUCUGCAAUCCAUGAAUGCUAACAUUCCUCAUCGCCAGUUUUCAUUCCCUGCUGUGCAAAAAGCUGCUGGUUCUGUAGUUCCUUUAUCAUGUCUGCUGCAUCCUUGACAAACACCAUAUGGAUGCUAAUAUGCCACAGCUGCUCCCACAGAAUGGGAAGUCAGGGGUAAAGGAAUUGUGUGUGCUUAAUGAAAGCUCUGUUUGGCAAGGAGACACUGAGCUGGCUUUAUCUUUAGAAGCUCCAGCAGGGGUAUCAAGGCACAAAAUCAUUGAAAGCAGCUCUAGAAACCUGUUGGGGCUGUUGAAAGGUCUGGUCACAGAAGCAUGUCCUUAUUUGAAUAGCAGGUAAAGAAACUGUAGCAGGGCAGGUGGUGGCAUGGCAGGGGCUGGAGAGAGGUGUUGGCAGGUAAUUCAAUCUAUACUCCAUUUGGGAUCUCUUACCGAUUCCUGAGAUACAGUCGUACUUUUGAAAGUCACAUUUCCUCUCCUUUUCCCACCCUGUCUUGGACCCACUCAUGGAGUGAACAGCCUGGACUGCCUCUUCCUCAAUGCCUCCCCUGUUUGCCGUAAAUAGGGGUGUAAUAGCACAGCCUUGCAGAAGGAGCAUAGACAUCUGGGUUUAUUUACAGCAUUUAUACCCCACUGUUUAGCCAAAGGUUCUCUGAACAGCUUAGAAAAAAAGUUUCUAAGGCACUCCCUGCCCUUCAGCUAAAAAUAUACAGUACAGUAUUGCAAAAAGAGAGAGAAAAGAAUGGGAGGGUUUGUGACUAGCCAGGGUACAAAAUGGACACAUAAUAUGUCCUCUCAGCAACAUACUUUGCACAAUCUUUGAAAAAAAGUUAGAUGUUUGGUUGCUUUCUGCAACUUUAAGUAACAUCUGCUGGGGAAUGCAAGGGAAACUGCAAUUAGUGAGUGAAUGAGGCCCUGAAUUCUUCAUUUUGGCCCUAGAGAGAUCUAGCAGCCUUGACAGCUCCAUAGAGGAAGAAAUGGAUGAACCCAAUAGGGUGGGUGUCAAAACAAAGGCAGGAAUGGCUCAGCCGAAGUGUCUGUCUGAAUGUAGCAGCACAGAUCUAACAAGUGUGCCUAGAUCUCACUACAGGCUGGCAAGAUGCUCUCAAGCUGCUCAGAUUGCCUUUCAAAGAUACAGGUAUUCACCAGAAAGCAGGUAUGCACUACCAAUGGGGAUAUCCUUUCAAGGGAACCCACUUUCUACUCUACAGCAUUGUAAUUGGGACAGGCAGCUAUCCUAGUAAAUGAUCUCAUAUUGGACUUAUCUGAUCCCAGUUGGGGGGCAGUCACAGGCGUGAACCACAAAGUGAAAAAGUGGGGUUCCUCCAAAGACCACAGGGCUCCAUUGAACAACAAAUGAUUCCUUAAUUAACCAGAAAACCUGACGGUCCUGAUUAAACAGCACUGGUAGAUCAUUUAUUACCCUCUUGAGCUAAUGCUUCUUCAAUGGCUAAUCUCUCUCUUGCUACAAGAACUGCUCUCCUUGGCUUAUUCACACUUUUGCCUCACUCUUUCUAGGCACAAGUCUGCACUUUAAUGCUACUACGUGUCCAAAUGGUUUUCAUUUGGUUUUUGUGGCCUGAACUUUCUUCUUGAAAACCUGCUAUUUAAAGCUGAAUUGAAGCAAACGUCAAAUUGGGUUUUCCAUGGAUUUACAUUUGCUCAGAUUGAGCUUGUAGAGCAGGUUUUCAUGGUGAAAGCUCUGGAGGGAAAAAAAGAGGGGAAAUUAAAUUUAAAAGCACUAGGCUACAGUGCUUUAAAUUGCAGACCCUGCCUGGAGAGAGCAGAGGAUAGGUAACUAUGGCAAAACUUCACGAGCCCUACACGUGUUUACUGCUUUUUGAAAACAAUGCUGCUGCACUCACUCUUUUGGUAUUUGCCACCCUCCUAUUUGGGUGGAUGUAGACCUGUGGGCAAUACCAGUCCAGCAAUCUGCAUUGUGAGACUUCACCUUAAGUCUCUCCUACUAUGAGACUUUAAACAACAACAACGUGUUUU